GAGAGGAUAGAGGAAUGAAAAGGAAUAGAGUGGGGAGGGAGGCCUUGUUUUUUUUUUUUUUUUAAUGGAUCCUAAAUAAAGAGAAAGUAGGGAAUAAAGAAACUGGAGAUAUUCAGCUGGAGCGGCAGAGCGGCCCGUCUUAUCAAGAGCAUGCGUUCUUUUAUCUGAGCUGCAAAUUGUCUAAGGCAUCCUUCACACCCACAAGGUUUUUCUGAGGGUUUAACUGUAUGAAUAAAAGUUGAGCUGCAGACAUUAUGGAACAUGAGGAGGAGGCGCGCCGUGCUCCACUCUUUGAUGCUUCUGCGCGCAUCUGAGGGCACAAGCGUCUUUGAGAGCAACCAUUUAACCCAUUCAUGCCCACACAAGAAGAAGUUAGCAAUGUUAAAGAACGAAAACAACAACAGCAACCUCCUCCAUUGGAAAACACCCUCUUUCCCCAACUUUCAAUUACUUAAGUACUGUAGCAUUAUUUGUCACUGUUUCCAUAAUCUCCUUUUAUCUUAAAUAAACUAUAGCUUGUUUAUUAGAAGCAUUUCUUGUGUAACAAAGCACUGAAUAGUUGAUGUGAACCAUUUAUCAAGAAACCAGUGUACCAUAAACAAGUCAAUGGCAUUGGCUGGCUAUAUGAGAUGAUUCUGUCUAUUAGAAGCAUAAUAAAACAUAUUUAGUUUAAAACAAAUGUCUCUUUUACUAGCUGUGCUUCUUUUACAACUGUUUGCAAAACUGUGAUUUUCUUCAAAUGUC